GUGAGGAAUUUUCCGCAAUGGGCGAAAGCCUGACGGAGCAAUGCCGCGUGAAGGAUGAAGGCCUAUGGGUUGUAAACUUCUUUUCUCAGAAAAGAAUUAUGACGGUAUCUGAGGAAUAAGCAUCGGCUAACUCUGUGCCAGCAGCCGCGGUAAGACAGAGGAUGCAAGCGUUAUCCGGAAUGAUUGGGCGUAAAGCGUCUGUAGGUUGUUUAAAAAGUAUUCUGUCAAAGAUUAGGGCUUAACCCUAGAUAGGCAGAAUAAACUUUUAAGCUAGAGUUUGGUAGAGGCAGAGGGAAUUCCCGGUGGAGCGGUGAAAUGCGUAGAUAUCGGGAGGAACACCAAAGGCGAAGGCACUCUGCUGGGCCAAUACUAACACUGAGAGACGAAAGCGAGGGGAGCAAAUGGGAUUAGAUACCCCAGUUCC
rnacentral:rRNA from 1 species